rnacentral:rRNA from 1 species
AUGCAUGCAAGUUGAGCGAAGCUUUUUGGUAGUUUACUACUAGAAAUGACUGAGCGGCGAACGGGUGAGUAACGCGUGAGCAAUCUACCUUAGUUACUGGGAUAGCCCGAGGAAACUCGGAUUAAUACCGGAUAUUCUUAUUUUUUCACAUGAAGUUUUAAGGAAAGGUCAGCCGAACUAAGAUGAGCUCGCGUUCUAUCAGCUAGUUGGUGGGGUAAAAGCCUACCAAGGCUACGACGGAUAGCUGGUCUGAGAGGACGAUCAGCCACACUGGGACUGAGACACGGCCCAGACUCCUACGGGAGGCUGCAGCAGGGAAUAUUGUGCAAUGAGCGAAAGCUUGACACAGCGACACCGCGUGUGGGAUGACGGUUCUAGGAUUGUAAACCACUUUCAGGAGGGAAGAAAAUGACGGUACCUCCACAAGAAGACCCGGCCAACUAUGUGCCAGCAGCCGCGGUAAUACAUAGGGGUCAAGCGUUGUCCGGAUUUAUUGGGCGUAAAGAGCUCGUAGGCGGUUCAACAAGUCGGUCGUAAAAGUUUAGGGCUCAACCCUAAAAUGUCGAUCGAUACUGUUGUGACUAGGAUACGGUAGAGGUGAAUGGAAUUCCGAGUGUAGCGGUGAAAUGCGUAGAUAUUCGGAGGAACACCAAUUGCGAAGGCAGUUCACUGGACCGUGAUCGACGCUGAGAGAGCGAAAGCUAGGGGAGCAAACAGGAUUAGAUACCCUGGUAGUCCUAGCUGUAAACGAUGGAUACUAGAUGUAGGAACUGGAUUGACGGUUUCUGUAUCGUAGCUAACGCGUUAAGUAUCCCGCCUGGGGAGUAC